AAGGGUAUAGCUCUGUGGUGGAGCACAUGCUUAGCAUGCAUGAGGUCCUGGGUUCAGUCCCCAAUACCCUCA
rnacentral:tRNA from 1 species